rnacentral:rRNA from 1 species
GCAAGUCGAACGAAGUAGCAAUACUUAGUGGCAGACGGGUGAGUAACAUGUAGGUAUCUGCCCUUUGGCCCGGAAUAACACGAGGAAACUUGUGCUAAUACCGGAUAAGUCUUUACGGAGAAAGCUUUAUGCACCAUUGGAUGAGCCUGCACUUGAUUAGUUUGUUGGUGGGGUAAUGGCCUACCAAGACUGUGAUCAAUAGCUGAUUUGAGAGGAUGAUCAGCCACAUUGGGACUGAGACACGGCCCAAACUCCUACGGGAGGCAGCAGUGGGGAAUCUUGCACAAUGGAGGAAACUCUGAUGCAGCGAUGCCGCGUGAGUGAAGAAGGCCCUUGGGUUGUAAAGCUCUUUCGUCGGGGAAGAAAAUGACUGUACCCGAAUAAGAAGGUCCGGCUAACUUCGUGCCAGCAGCCGCGGUAAUACGAAGGGACCUAGCGUAGUUCGGAAUUACUGGGCUUAAAGAGUUCGUAGGUGGUUGAAAAAGUUAGUGGUGAAAUCCCAGAGCUUAACUCUGGAACUGCCAUUAAAACUUUUCAGCUAGAGUAUGAUAGAGGAAAGCAGAAUUUCUAGUGUAGAGGUGAAAUUCGUAGAUAUUAGAAAGAAUACCAAUUGCGAAGGCAGCUUUCUGGAUCAUUACUGACACUGAGGAACGAAAGCAUGGGUAGCGAAGAGGAUUAGAUACCCUCGUAGUCCACGCCGUAAACGAUGUGUGUUAGACGUUGGAAAUUUAUUUUCAGUGUCGCAGCGAAAAG